AGAGGCACAAAAGCUGGCCCAAGGGAAUCAUCAACUUGUGGAAAUCGAACCCGGGUUAUCCCGAAAUUCUCCCCCACAAAUAGAGCUCAUUUGCCACUUAGCUACCUUUUUAUGUUGAUAAUGUUG